GGUGAUAAACUGCAUUCUUACAGAAGGAUGUUUUUGAAUUGCAAAGUGUCUCCAUGACAUGCCCAAGAAUGUGGUUCACUGCAGUGAAUGACAGUUGAACUUUUUUUAGUUACUUUCAAGAGAAAAAAAAUAGUGGAUGCAUCACGUGACACUAAUGAUACCUGAGAGACUGCACCUUUUGUAGAGAGACAUUGUAUCAGGUACUUUUCCUUUGUUUGAAACCGUGUCUUAAAAACUGAAGUGUGUUUACUGGACAAAUACAGACACUAA